GAGUAUAAGACAAUCAAGUGCAGUAAUUGACGUACCAACCAAGAAUAAAAAAUGUAUCUUCCAAUGUCUAAAAAGAUUCUAUGACCCCGUAAAAGAUAUUUAUAAGCGAGACCCACUAAGUUCCUUGGAACUUAUAUGCGUGUUUUUGGAUGCAUGUGUGUGAAUUGAACCAACCCGCCGGGAGGGACCAAGCUAGGGAUGCACCGU
rnacentral:lncRNA from 1 species